rnacentral:rRNA from 1 species
GCAUAUCAAUAAGCGGAGGAAAAGAAACCACCCGGGAUUACCUCAGUAACGCAGAGUGAAGCGGUAACAGCUCAAAUUUGAAAUCUGGCUCUUGCGGAGUUCGAGUUGUAAUUUGUAGAAGAUGCUUUGGGUUGUGGGUUCGGCCUAAGUUCCUUGGAACAGGACGUCAUAGAGGGUGAGAAUCCCGUAUGUGGCCGAGGCCCGCGCCUAUGUAAAGCUCUUUCAACGAGUCGAGUUGUUUGGGAAUGCAGCUCAAAAUGGGUGGUAAAUUUCAUCUAAAGCUAAAUAUGGGCCAGAGACCGAUAGCGCACAAGUAGAGUGAUCGAAAGAUGAAAAGCACUUUGGAAAGAGAGUUAAACAGUACGUGAAGUUGUUGAAAGGGAAGCGCCUGCAACCAGACCUGGGCGCCGCCGAUCACCUUGAGUUUUCUCGAGUGCACUCGACAGCGCACAGGCCAGCAUCGGUUCGGGUGGCUGGAUAAAGGCCGUAGGAACGUGGCUCUCUUCGGGGAGUGUUAUAGCCUACGGUGCCAUGCAGCCCAGCCGGACCGAGGACCGCGCCUUCGGGCUAGGAUGCUGGCGUAAUGGUUGUAAGCGACCCGUCUGAAACACGGACC